rfam:Listeria monocytogenes EGD-e, complete genome
GAAAUUAUUUUUAAUGUAAGUGAGGCGUCCUUAUGAAAAUUUCUAAACCAGCUUAUUUGGUUUUACUUGUUGUUGGCUUGGUUUUUGUUUUUCUAGGACUAUCUAAUAUAGGAAUCUCUAUUUUUUGGGAUUUUAGCGACUUAGAGAAUUUGAUGGUUGGUGGUUUGUUAAUCAUCAUUGGACUCAUCACACUUAGGAUUCGAUAUUCAUUUAAAAAAAGAGGAUAGAAAAAGCACUGCAAUUAUUGAUUGCAGUGCUUUUUCU